rnacentral:tRNA from 1 species
GCCUGGGUAGCUCAGUCAGUUGAGCAUCUGACUUCAGCUCGGGUCAUGAUCUCAUAGUUUGUGGGUCCAAAUCCCACGUUGGGCU